rnacentral:lncRNA from 1 species
AAGAAAGCUUCAUGACACCAUUCCUACAAUUGAUCAAUGCAUUAGAAGUUGCAAGGAAUGGACGUCCUAAGAUGACCGGAAUCUGAGUUGGUGAAUUGGAAGCCGGAUGUGUGUCCAGUACGAUAAAGUCAACAGGAAAAUAGAACUUGUCUACUUGGACCAACACAUCUUCGAUAAUCCCUCUAGGAACCUUCACUGACCUGUCAGCU